AACGAACGCUGGCGGCAGGCCUAACACAUGCAAGUCGAGCGCCCCGCAAGGGGAGCGGCAGACGGGUGAGUAACGCGUGGGAAUCUACCCAUCCCUACGGAAUAGCUCCGGGAAACUGGAAUUAAUACCGUAUACGCCCUACGGGGGAAAGAUUUAUCGGGGAUGGAUGAGCCCGCGUUGGAUUAGCUAGUUGGUGGGGUAAAGGCCUACCAAGGCGACGAUCCAUAGCUGGUCUGAGAGGAUGAUCAGCCACAUUGGGACUGAGACACGGCCCAAACUCCUACGGGAGGCAGCAGUGGGGAAUAUUGGACAAUGGGGGCAACCCUGAUCCAGCCAUGCCGCGUGAGUGAUGAAGGCCUUAGGGUUGUAAAGCUCUUUCACCGGGGAAGAUAAUGACGGUACCCGGAGAAGAAGCCCCGGCUAACUCUGUGCCAGCCGCCGCCGUAAUAC
rnacentral:rRNA from 1 species